CCAACGCGCCUGCGUGGCCGCCGCCCCGGCCGUCACGAGACCCAGUCAGCUGACCUCAGCGCUUCCGCCUUGCGCCCCGCCCACGGGCGAGCAUUGCCCCUCCCUCUGCGACCCAUUCGCCGCCUUCCGGGAAACGCCGCGUGCGCGCCGCCCGCCGUUACGCCUCUCGGGAAGUACGCGUGCGCAGAGCCAAAGGCUGAGCCCAGAGAGCUCUAGGCCAAGCGGAUUGCGAGGAGCCACGCCCCUUGGCGCGUCUCCGGAGGCCACGCCCCCUGGAGCGGGUUGCGCACGUGGAGCCACGCCCCUCAGCCUGUGUCCUGCGAGGAGUAUACAGCAAGGUGAACUAUACUAAAUAUAAUACCACCUAGCAGUGCAUGGGCUCUUUCCCUAUGGUGUCUUACUGAACUGUCACUCACACUUAUGAAACUGAUACCAUCCCUUGUCACUUGUGAUUCUUUCUUCUGCUUGUUGUAUGAAAAAUGAAUAUAGUAUUUGCCAAGAGAAGAAGGUAAAGGAGAAGGAGACAUUGAGCCUGAGAGGUUUCUGUACAGUAAGCAAGGGAAUGGCACCAGGUGGAUUGGAAUUUGGCUUCUUGUUUCUCUCAGGACCUCUGUGUGAGAGAACAGAGAAGAGCAGAAGAGCUCUUGCAGGAGUCCUGAGGUAGCCAUAUCUCAUGUGAUCCAGGCAGCUAGAAACUGGCUGUGUAGCCAAGGAACACCUUGAAUUUCUCCUGCCUCCACCUUCCAGAUACUGAGAUUAUAGGAGUGCAUUAUCACACUGGGUUUUACGUGGACCUGGGGACUCAAUCUAGGACGUUGGGUGCACUAGGCAGGUAAGUGUUCCACGAGUUGAGCUACAUCUUCAACCCCGUUCUGUUUUGUUUUCAGUUGUCCUUGUUCCUCUCUAAUGAUGCCUAGUUUAUACACUAAACGUUAGCAUGGGUGUGUAUAGGAGAAAGGUUGUAUGUUUUCAGCUGUUCAGACAUCUGCUGGGAUCUCAGCAUUUAGGCUCUUGGAGAACAGGGGCUUCAGAUCCCAUAAGUUCAAAAGUGAAACCAAGCUUUCUCCCUACAGAUCCAUUUUUCUCAAAGCUACCCUUUCCUUAGAUGAUGAAAACUUCUUUGGCUUAGGCGGAAAAUGAGUCUUCUGUGAUUCCUUCAUUUCCCAAAUAUCCUACACCUGAUCUAUCAGAAAAGCCUGUGGGUUCUACUGUGAAAAAAAAAUCUAGAAACCAAUGGCUAUGCCCAUCUCUGCCCCCACCUUGCUUUGAGCUAGCCCAAUUUACCAGAACCUCUGUAAUGGCCUCUUGGCUCAUCUCCAGCUUCUGCUCUUGCUUCACAAUCUCUUUUAAACACAGCGGCCAAAUGCUUACAAGUCAAAUCUUGUCAUUCUGCUCCUACAGGCCAAGUCUGCUGUGGAUGCUCAGGUCCAUCAGAGUGGAAGCCGAGGUCCCAAUGAUGACUCUCUUCCUACCACACUGUCCAUCCUGCUUUUCUUCAACACCCCGCCCCUCAGCAUCCCUGCUUGGUGCUAUUGCUUCAGCUUUUAGCAUUACAGGAAUACUCUUCCUAUAGACCCUAGAUGGGUCACUUCUUUACUGUCUUUGCUUAAGUCUCAUCUUUUCAAUGAAGUCUUCCCAUUUCAAAGUUCCAUUCAUAAACUGUCCUCUACUCCCUUUGGCCAACAGGCACUUGUGAUCUGAAUCUUUCAAAAUAUUUAUUACAUUUAUCAUUUGUCUCUUGUUUCUUCUAAUUGACUCUCCAUUUCAGGACACAAGAAGUUUGUAUUUAUGGAGCAUAGAUCAGUAAGUAUCUGGGCCAUAGGUGUUAAUAAAUAUUAAUACUAAAAUCAGCUACCUAAGGAUUGAGUGUGUGGCUCAGUCGGUAGAGUGCUUGCCUAGGUUUGAGUCCCAGUACUACAUAAAUUGGGUGGGAGUAUAGAUGCACCCACAAUCUCAUGCCCCAAGAGGGUCAGAAGCCUCAAGGACAUCCUUCCAUCCCAGCCUGAGAUAACAUGAAACCAUGUCUCAAACACAAAACAACCCCCCCCAAUCUACCAAAAAUGAUGACUCAUAUACUGUCAAUGAUCAGGAUGCUGCUUAGUGUGAUGAAAAAUCUAAUUUUAGGAAAGUUAGAGCCUAACAGUUUAUUAGAACUGUAGAUGGAGCUAAAACAAAGUUGGAGAGAACCAAAUGGAAUUGAAGGAAAGAAGAGACUGAAUGGGAAUAAGGAAGAGAGACAGAUACUAGUGAUUUGCAUAUCUAUAUUUAUAUCUAUCUUGUCUCAGAAAAGUACCUAUUUUUUGUGGAGCUGGAAAUGCUGACACAUGUCUAAAAUCCUAUUAUUUGAGAUGCUGAAAUAGAAGGAUUUUAAGCUCCUGAUCAGCCUGGGCUAUAAUAGUGAGUUCCUGAAAAGGUAAAUCAAUUUUCAUGGUUAGUGUUCUGAAUUUAGAAAUUUAUUUUUUAAUUAACCCAUUAACUUUGGCUAUGUUAUCAUAGCAGUUCCAUGGAAUAUGCGUCCCUACACUUUCCUUCAGUGGGCACAUAUCCUGUACCAUAUAGACUAUGGGAGGUGCUGAGACCCCAUAAGCUCUGCUCCUGAGAAACCCCACAUGUGGUGGGAGAACCAGAUAGACAGCUAUAUGAGAGUGUGGCACACACUAAAAUGGAGGAGUCACUGAUCCCAUUCAAACAGAGAAAAUUGCAGCCGGCAGAGUAUAUUGGAUUUGCAGGAAAGGAGAAAUUGGAAAGCUUAUGAGAUUUGAGAUGCCCUGUAAGUGCAAUAGGAUUUCACAGGAGACAGAAACUGGUGCACAGGGUAUGUUUGGGACAAGCUGAGUAGGGAGAGCAUGGGAGCUGGGGUGGGGUAAGACUUGGUGUGUGCUUGGGGCUCAGUUUUUAGGUUUCUGGUUUAGGCUUGUUUCUGAAACACCUGGAAAUGGCCAGCAACUGUAAUGCUCUGGAGGGAUGAGCUCUAGUCUGUGUUUAGGUGAUGUCAUGAUGGUGGAGACAUGGGAGCCACUGGAAUGUCUCAGGCCAGGUACCCAAGGCCCAGAACCAGAGUUGUGGAUGUGGGGACACAGAUGAGGGAACUAGAAUACUGGUCAGUCCUGUGGUUGAGUUGAAAAGUUUUGGUGACAGAGUAAUCACACUGGUCAGGGGGAAUAUGUGGCUGAGAUGGUCUCAUGGCUCUGUGCAGUGACUGGGGAUAAACACCCCAGAAAAGGGCUGGUACAGACUAGAGGAAGAAAUGGCCUUUAUUUUCAAGUGGGAUUGACGUGAGCUCUUCUGUGGAUAGACAUGGCCAAGGGGUAGCUGGAAAAAAACAGGUUAUAAUUCUUCACUUAGAUGUGGCAGUAGGGGUUUGAAAUGUAGGAGACAGCUCAUGGUGAGCACGAGAUGGGGAGAGCAGCUACAGGAUUUUGAGAUGUGAUUAUUUAAGGGGUUGGUGGAUGGAAUCUACCCAAAAGAAGCUGGAUAAGGGGCUUGAGAGAACAACAACAACAACAACAAAAAGAGCAAACAAAACCACCCAGAAAAGACACCCCCUUCCCUCUUUACUCUUCCAUCUUUCAGUACUGAGGGUUGAAUCCAAGGUCUUACACAUAUUAGCCAAGCACUCUUCUUGUAGUUGUGUUUUUGUUUGUUUGUUUGUUUGUUUUGCUUUGUUUUGUUUUUGUUUUCCAAGACAGGGUUUUUCUGUGUAACUGCUCUGGCUGUCCUGGAACUCAUUCUGCAGACCAGUCUGUCCUUGAACUCACGGAGAUCUCCCUGCCACUGUCUCCUGAGUGCUGAGAUUAAAGAUGUGUGCCACCACUGCCCCGCAGGGCUCUUAUCUAUGACUAUGCUAAAAACAAACGCUAAAGUGACACAGAUCAGUUGGCAUGUGGGUUUACAAAUAUAGUCGGUGAUUGGCUCUUUAUAAAGCAGUUCCAUUUGAGACUCAUUCGUAGCUUCUCUCCCCUAAUCCUGAUCAACUAACUGGAAGUCAGGUUGAAUCUGGAGAGCCAAACAAUUAUUCAGUCUACAAACAAUAAUUGCAGGGUUGCCAGCACCUCAUACAUAUGGGAUACUUACAUAUACUUUUUGUCAUGGUUUAGGUAUUGGUUUUCUCAGAAUGUAUGUUCUGUAUUCUACCCCAGACCCAUGACUCCCUAACCCCAAGAUGGUAAUUCAACUGUUAGAGCUGUUUGUCACAUUGAUCUUAGAUUCCUAUACUUUUUGUUUGUUAAAUUAUGUACUAAAUUUGGUGGUACCAUUAAAACAUUAUUCAACCCUUACCCCCUUCCUUGCUUAGCUUGUGCUAUAUAGUAUCUAUGCUAAGGCAAGUAGUCACCCAACCCUGUCAUCAUUUCCUGUAUCAGGAACGUCUCAACUUUUGCCUGCAUUACUCAUUGAGAACAGAGUAGUCUAGUUCUUUUUCCUUAGAGAGUUCAAAUAUAAAGUUUAUUUUACCCGAGGCUGUCUUGUAACACAGACUCCUAACAAGCUUUCUGCUAAAUAAGAUCAACAGGGUGUUGGCAACUUGGAUCUGAAACAACCCUUUGGUUUCUGUCACUUGCUGACUUCUGUGAUGGGCAGCUGUGACUAACUUCCAAGAGAAGUUGUAGACGUCAGCGCCAGGAAGAGGAGACACACAUUUCCCCCUUGACUCUGCAUGGGAUGCUGCAGCUGGGAGCCACUGCAUUUUCUUCUGGUUGAGAAACUCUGCUGCUUAAUCAUAUUGCUCUUCCCUGGGGUAUGGAAUUGCCAAGGGAGCUGUUUUGAGAGGGAAAUUCCGCAAACACACAGCCGAUAUGUUUAAGAAGAGGAGACAAACUGGCUGGGGAAUGAAGCCCAGAGUGAGCUAAACAUGACUGUCUGGCUGCCGGGUACUGUGUCUAAUCAAGACAAGAAGGGGCUCAGGAGGAGAGAUAACUAAUUGUACACCAGUGAGAAAAUAUUUAUUGAGCACCAAACAAUGGCCCCUACCAGCUCCCUGAGGUACUGAGGACAUAACAGAUAAAAUUCUUGCUUUAUGGAACUGAUAUGUUGUAUUUCUUAUAGCUUAUAAUUCUUGUUCCCACCAUAACCCAUAUAGUUGCAAAACAUGCCUUGUUCUGAGUAGGACACAUCAUUUCUGUAACACAUUGUAAACUUCCCAAGGAUGUUUCCUUGUCAAGUUCUAUCGUGAGUAGAUGAGGUAGAGCUAGCUAUCCACUGCUUACCCUUUAUCUAAACUAGUUGAAACUGAGUUUUAAAUGUAAAAGUUAAUUUAAGUCAGUUGAAUAAUUUAAUACUAAUACAGUCACUCCUGUUAUAUUAGAACACUUCAUCACAGAUAAAAAGAGAGCCCUGGAGUCUGUCUGCAGGAAUUGUAUUCUAAUGAAAUAUAUACACACACAAGCUUUUCAAAGUUCA